rnacentral:rRNA from 1 species
AUCUUCGGAUGUGUAUAAAGUGGCGAACGGCUGAGUAACACGUGGGCAACCUGCCCUUUGCACUGGGAUAGCCUCGGGAAACCGAGGUUAAUACCGGAUACUCCAUAUUUGUCGCAUGGCGAAUAUGGGAAAGCUCCGGCGGCAAAGGAUGGGCCCGCGGCCUGUUAGCUAGUUGGUGGGGUAGUGGCCUACCAAGGCAAUGAUGGGUAGCCGGGUUGAGAGACCGACCGGCCAGAUUGGGACUGAGACACGGCCCAGACUCCUACGGGAGGCGGCAGUGGGGAAUCUUGCACAAUGGGCGAAAGCCUGAUGCAGCGACGCCGCGUGCGGGAUGAAGGCCUUCGGGUUGUAAACCGCUUUCAGCAGGGACGAGGCCGCAAGGUGACGGUACCUGCAGAAGAAGCCCCGGCUAACUACGUGCCAGCAGCCGCGGUAAUACGUAGGGGGCAAGCGUUAUCCGGAUUCAUUGGGCGUAAAGCGCGCGUAGGCGGUCUGUUAGGUCAGGAGUUAAAUCUGGGGGCUCAACCCCUAUCCGCUCCUGAUACCGGCAGGCUUGAGUCUGGUAGGGGAAGAUGGAAUUCCAAGUGUAGCGGUGAAAUGCGCAGAUAUUUGGAAGAACACCGGUGGCGAAGGCGGUCUUCUGGGCCAUGACUGACGCUGAGGCGCGAAAGCUAGGGGAGCGAACAGGAUUAGAUACCCUGGUAGUCCUAGCUGUAAACGAUGGACACUAGGCGUGGGGAGAUUAUACUUUCCGUGCCGCAGCUAACGCAUUAAGUGUCCCGCCUGGGGAGUACGGUCGCAAGACUAAAACUCAAAGGAAUUGACGGGGGCC